rnacentral:ncRNA from 2 species
UUCUUAUCAAGAGUGGCGGAAGGACUGGCCUAAUGAAGCCCGACAACCAGCAUGGAUGAUGUAUGGUGUCAAUUCCAGCAGAUGUAAUCUGAGCGAUAAGAA